CUCCUUAGUAACCUUUGGGAACAGCCCUGGAAACAGCCCAACCUCUGUUUCUUGUUUGAAGAAUGGUGGCAAAGGGUCUUAAAUCUCUGCAGCCUCUUUGCUUCAACGGAAUGACCAUUAUUUUCAUGAGAUUCUUGGCAAUUUGCCUCCUCCUGAUCCAGAGUAAAUGAAGCAGCACAGAACCAGCUCCUCCUGUUCCUGUGUGCCAUCUGCUUCUGUUCCCAUGAUAUUCCUCUUCGUUGGUCUGGAUGGAACAGAGAUACACAGGAAGCAGAAGAGGAGCCAGAUAUUCUGGAUGAGUGUGAACAUGUGGCAUUUGGGUGCACAAAAAAGGCAGUAACAGCUGCUUAUUUGCAGUGCAGAUGAAAACACUAGAACAGAUUCAUCUCCUCACAAAUGGGAAGCCAC
rnacentral:lncRNA from 11 species